CCGAGGAGAGACCCAAAGUACAAACGAUUAAACGAAAGCAGAAAUAUUAAGAGCUAUAAAGCUGUUGGAGUAGUCUUUAAAAGAUGUGAUCAACUCUUCCAAUGGCCCGUAAGAGCUUUGAUAUCUUCCCAGAUUUUAGUGAGUGGUUUUUCCUUCUCCUUGAGAAUCCUAUUUUUUCUUUCCAUCCAAAUGAGCCAAAGUGUAACAACCACCGAAUUGAAGAGGAAAGAUUUUUCUUUCAUCCUCUUCCAGAUUUUAUGUACAAAGUUACAGAAUACGAAUAGGUGAUUUAUGUCUUCAUCAACUUCUUUGCAUAAAACACACCAAUUUGGGAGUCUUUUUUUGGAGGCAGUUGACAGUAUUUAUAUGGAGAUAAAUAAUGGACCAAAUGAAAAUUUUGCACUUCUUGGGAAUGCUAGUCUUCCAUGACAAAGACAAAGGAGUCCGAUAUUUCAAUACACUGCCCAUUUGCUUGCAAAGCUUUUUUAACAGAGGCAAUGGAGAAGAUCCCAUUUGAGUUCAGCUUCCAUAUGGGGAUAUUAGUGCCAUGAUUGUGUUCAGGGACAGGCAAGAGAGGGCGAAAGUCUGGGUCUGCAUAGGUGUAGAGGGCUAUUUUCAUGCCAUAAUGUCUUCCGGAAAGAAAGGGAAGCACCUUCAUUUAUCUUCCAAUGAAUAUGGGAAAUGAACCAAUCCACUCCCUUAAUAAUAGAUAACCAAGGAGCUUUGAGACUGCAGUAUUUGCCCUUCAUCGGAAUUUCUCCAACAAAUGAUUGAUCAUAUUUAGCCAAGAUGAUGCACUUCCACAAAGGGCUUUUUUCAUAGUGGAAUCCACAAAGCCAUUUGCAAAGAAGGAAAAAAACUGUAUCUAUAACACGAUUUAUGCCAAGGCCAUCCUUUUCUUUGGAGGUUGUAAUGACUGACCACCUCAUAAGAUAAAUAUCAUUUUUAUCUAUUGAAUUCUUCCAAAGCAAAUUCCUCCAAGCCUUUUCAAUAUUUUUACAGACAUUUAUAAGGGCCUUAAAAACAGAUAGUUGAUAUGUUGGAAGACUAGCAAGAGUGGGGGGUUGAUCAAAGUGAUUUUACCACCUUUAGAAAGAUAAAGAAUAUUUCCAGUUAUUUUAUUUUUCUGUGGAUUUUUCUGUGGAUUUUUCAUAAACUUCAGCCCGAAAAUUUUUAGAGAGAGGUUUACCUCCCAAUGGGACACCUAAGUAGUUGAUUGGAAGGAACUGAGAUGUAAGCCACCAUUUUGUAGCCACACAAUUUGUUCUAUGAGAGUCAACGUUUAUCAAGGAGAUCAUAGACUUGUUCAUGUUGACAUUUAGACCUGAAACAAGUUCAAAGAGGUGGAUAUCAAAUCUCAUAUUAUCAAUCGAUUCAUCAUGGUCUUUGAUAAACAAUAAUAUGUCAUUCGCAAACAGCAAAUGAGUAACAUUUUGAUCAUCGUUGAAUCUGACCCCCUUUAACUUACCCAUUUCUUCAAGAUGACUAAGAAAUCUGCUCAAGUAGUCCAUAUCAAGUAUAAAAAGAAAGGGAGAUAAUGGGUCACCUUGUCAAAUGCCUCUCGUUGGUUGUAUUUCACCCUUGGAGCCUCCAUAUAUAAUGAUUGAUCAGUAUUGAACGCUGCUAACAGAAGACUUCAUCCAUUUUCUCCAUUUAUGAGGGAAGCCUUUUUUCAACAACAUGAAUUCAAUGAGCUGCCAUUUAAUUUGUGAAAGGCCUUUUCGAUGUCGAACUUGAUAAUGUAGCCUUUAACCUUCUUGGUUUUCCAAUAAUCUACUGCUUCGUUUGUAAUCAAAAUGGCAUCUGUUAUCUGUCUAUCUUUGACAAAAACCAUUCUUUUUAGAGACAAUUUUGGGUAAGGUGAUUUUUAACCUUUCAGCCAUAACCUUUGUCAUCAGCUUGUAGAGAGUAGUUGUGAAACUAAUGGGUCUGAAAUCAGUGGUCAAGGAGCAUUUAUCAUUUUUAUCAAUUAAUGCAAUGUAAGUAUAAUUCACAACCUUGUUGAUGA